CACGCCGUAAACGUUGGGCGCUAGGUGUGGGUCCCAUUCCACGGGGUCCGUGCCGCAGCUAACGCAUUAAGCGCCCCGCCUGGGGAGUACGGCCGCAAGGCUAAAACUCAAAGGAAUUGACGGGGGCCCGCACAAGCGGCGGAGCAUGCGGAUUAAUUCGAUGCAACGCGAAGAACCUUACCAAGGCUUGACAUACACCGGACGACUGCAGAGAUGUGGUUUCCCUUUGUGGCUGGUGUACAGGUGG
rnacentral:rRNA from 1 species